UUCGGCCGCCGAACCCCCUUGUGGAGGCAGGCCUUUCGGCUGCCGAAGUUGCCCCCGAAAAGAGACUUUCGUCUCUGUCUGGGAGUUUCGGCCGCCGAAGGUGCCGCCGAACCUGCCUGACUUUCGGCUCUGGAGGGACUUUCGGCCGCCGAACCUGCCGCCGAAAGUGCCCUGUUCAGCCAUUUCUUGCAUGUUUUUAUGUGAUGUUUUCAUGAUGUUAUAGGGGGUUUUUGGG
rnacentral:lncRNA from 1 species